ensembl:lncRNA
UAUUUAACUGUCAAAUUGCCCUUGAUAUCAAUGGCAUGUGUAUUCAUAUUAAUACAUGAUGUAUGUACUGUACCACAUUACAUAACAACCAAGACCCAGCAGUGCCGUUUUGUGCUUAAACUGCUCAAUAACUUCCUAGACCUCCUACAUCUCUGCAUGCUUAUUGUGAGCGGACUUGGCUUACAAAUGUCCCGUCACUCUUGUCGUGACAUUUGUUAUCCAUUUUGACUUGUAAACCCAACCAACUCUAUAUUUUAUUCUGCCAACAAGUAGUUACACUAACCUUAAAAAUAAAAAAAAAUGUGUAAGGUUGGGUGUAACAUGAGCACUGUUAUUCUGUGUAAGGCCUGUCCGCUUACAAUAAGCAUGCAGAGAUGUACUUGGAGGUCUAGGAAAGUUAUUGAGCAGUUUAAGCACAAAACGGCACUGCUGGCCUCACAUAAAAGAGAAGAACCCAUCCAAACCAAAAAUUCAUCAUUUCGUCGUUUAACAAUGCAUUUAGAUAUACAUCAUGUUAUGAUAACAUGAGAUACAUAGGAUGCAUAAUAUGUACACUGAUAGACAUAAUGUUAGGUAGUAAGUGGAUUGGUAUUACCAAUCAUGUCGGGUUAAUUAUAUUCUGAGACUCUAACUGUAACUGUCUGGAUCAGAUGUUUUAACUUUUUGCCUCGUAUUGACAAAGUAAACUUACAGCACAUCUAAUACAUUCGGCUAUCCCUUUAAUAUACAUCCACUAGGGAAAUAACUGCACAUAUAGUUGCACUUACAAAAAAAGCAAUGGCAGAGAAAUGUCGUCAACGACUAUCAUAACACAAAUGGUACAACCGAAGCCAGAAUCUAAUCUGAUCUGAAUGUGAGCGGAGAGGAACGAUAGUCCAACUCUACAGACAGGCAGACAGGCAGACAGGCAGACAGGCAGACAGGCAGACAGGCAGACAGGCAGACAGACCCACUACAUAUCAGACAGGCAGACAGUCACACUACACAGCAGCGCAGCUGACAUGAGUAUGCAUGGGUCAUAUCAACAGGAACAGGCUAGGCUAGCACACAGCUCUCUACCUGGAACGGGUUGCUGACCUCCGGGUCGGCGAACGGGUUACUGUCGAAGUCUGACAUGGUAACGGCGCGUUAAUCGGGCUGUUCCGCCUGCCUAUCCGCAAAAGGAAACAAAAAAGGCGAUUUGAAGGUUUGUUUAAGAGCAAUGUCAGCACGGCUCCUCUCCUCUGACGUGGACGCGCUCUCCUCUGACGUGGACGCGCCGCCGCCGUCGGAAGUGAAUCGGCGGGCGGAGAUAGGUUACCGAGACGACCCGUGAAACAUAACGACGAUAUAAUAACAUGUUAUCAUAAUUAAACCAUACAAUAACAGUGUUUUUUGUAACGUAAAUAUAUACCAAAUGAUACACCGAUACACAUCACGUGUAUCAGC